CCCAGUGAGCAGAAUAAUAAAACAUUAUAUUUAAAACAUAUGAUAUCAUGGAAUGCAUCACAUCACAAACAAAUCACAUCAAGGAUGAAUUUGUCACCUAUGGCCCUCUACCCAUUCCAAUAGUGCCAGAGGCGUAGAAUGGGCCUCACUGGUCUUUCUCUUAGCAUAACAUAUCAUAAAAUUCCAUUAAUGCCAGGGGCGUAGAAUGAGCCUCAUUGGUCUUUCUCUUACAUAGUGCCAGGGGCGUAGAAUGGGUUUCACUGGUCUUUCACCGUAUCAUUACCAUCUCAUAACGUAUCAUAUCAUAAUGAGGGCCAAAGGAUCAUCCAACAUUCAUCCACAUCAUCAACAUAUUAUGCAAUGCAACAUAUUCGUGAAUUCUAAUGCAAGCACCCUAAUAUAUCUCAUGGCAUUCAUGAUGUGUGAAUCAUGCUAAGAACUGAUUUAUU
rnacentral:lncRNA from 1 species